AUGGACUCGCGGCCUAUCAGCUAGUUGGUGAGGUAACGGCCCACCAAGGCGACGACGGGUAGCCGGCCUGAGAGGGUGACCGGCCACACUGGGACUGAGACACGGCCCAGACUCCUACGGGAGGCAGCAGUGGGGAAUAUUGCACAAUGGGCGCAAGCCUGAUGCAGCAACGCCGCGUGAGGGACGACGGCCUUCGGGUUGUAAACCUCUUUUAGUAGGGAAGAAGCGAAAGUGACGGUACCUGCAGAAAAAGCACCGGCUAACUACGUGCCAGCAGCCGCGGUAAUACGUAGGGUGCAAGCGUUAUCCGGAAUUAUUGGGCGUAAAGAGCUCGUAGGCGGUUUGUCGCGUCUGCUGUGAAAACUGGAGGCUCAACCUCCAGCCUGCAGUGGGUACGGGCAGACUAGAGUGCGGUAGGGGAGAUUGGAAUUCCUGGUGUAGCGGUGGAAUGCGCAGAUAUCAGGAGGAACACCGAUGGCGAAGGCAGAUCU
rnacentral:rRNA from 1 species